UAGAAAUGGAGGCUGUUCCAAGAUCGAUCCUUUCUUGAAUUAAUUCCAUGCAUAUAUAUAUGUGAUGUGAUGAUGAAAGAUGAUCUAUCUCGGACCAGGCUUCAUUCCUC
rnacentral:pre_miRNA from 1 species